rnacentral:rRNA from 1 species
AACGAACGCUGGCGGCAGGCUUAACACAUGCAAGUCGAACGCCCCGCAAGGGGAGUGGCAGACGGGUGAGUAACGCGUGGGAAUCUACCCAACCCUACGGAACAACUCCGGGAAACUGGAGCUAAUACCGUAUACGCCCUAAGGGGGAAAGAUUUAUCGCUGAAAGAUGAGCCCGCGUCAGAUUAGCUAGUUGGUGGGGUAACGGCCUACCAAGGCUACGAUCUGUAGCUGGUCUUAGAGGACGAUCAGCCACACUGGAACUGAGACACGGUCCAGACUCCUACGAGAGGCAGCAGUGGGGAAUAUUGGACAAUGGGGGAAACCCUGAUCCAGCCAUGCCGCGUGAGUGAUGAAGGCCUUCGGGUUGUAAAGCUCUUUAGGGUGGGACGAUAAUGACGGUACCACCAGAAUAAGCCCCGGCUAACUUCGUGCCAGCCGCCGCCGUAAAAC